GCCAGUGGAACUGCAGGAGAGUGGAAGAGGGCAGAACCUGACGUGAAUGCAAGAACCUGCCAAGAAAAGCAAUGGCCAAGGGGAUUGAUUAGUGCAGGACCUGAGAGAAGCACCUUGAAUGACAACCUGGAGCAGUUUCCAGUACUGGAUUGAAAAGAUGGCCUUGGCUGCAUGUCCUUGAGCAAGGAAAGCCAAGAAACCUUUGCUUUGGAAGGAGAAAAUCUGGAAAGCAGGAAGGAAGAAAAGAAGCCCUGUGUCUCCUCCUGAGCCCCAAACAGCUCCUGAACUGCCUCCCUGGGAAUGGUGGGACGGGCUGGACUCUGGAUUGCUCCCUCUGCAUGUGUGUGGGAUGGAGCCUGGAAAGUGCCC